rfam:Chloroflexi bacterium RBG_13_50_21 RBG_13_scaffold_55494, whole genome shotgun sequence.
CCAUAAAAAUAAGCUUCGCCCAAGACAGCAGGUGCGAAAAAACGCUUAAUUCCCUGCCGAGGUGAGGAUUUCUCCAAUAAUAGUAAAGCCGCUUGAUGCGAGCAUGAAAUUUGGAUGACGGAGAGUCUUUGCCAGGCACUGGUUGCGAGGCAAAGACUUUUUAUUUGGAAAG